CGCUGUGGCAGUGCACGGCGCGGCGCUGGACACCCCGGCCACAGGACACGGAGCACUGGAGGAAAGGACAGAAGACCGAAAUCAGGACAUGCUCAUCCUUAAGAUUUAUGCAUUUUGAAAACAACUCGGAAGGUGGCAAGAAGGCAGAGCCUGGGGAAUCAAAGCAAAAAGCAAACCAGCAGGUAUGUUAGCUGUAAGCUUUGUAGUGAAGCAACUAAUUUCAACCUCCCUCUGCAGGUUCACUGAACUUUUUCAAAUGUGACCACUUCUGGCAUGCAAACCCCAAGCAACUUCACUUUGAUUUCAGAUUAGUCUCCUCCAAAAGAUUUAGGAAUCAAAGGGGUCUGGAAUCACGACAAGAAUUUAAUAUGACAGUUUCGUGUAGAACAAGCCUCUUACUCAGCAUGAUGCACCCAGAGACUCAACUUCAAUUUCUUCAUUACAUGCUAUGUCAUAAGCAUACUGGUUUAAUCCUUGAGUGCAAACACACUGUUUUAACCAUCUCUCCAUGGAAAAUGUCCUGUUUUCAAAAUGGAGGAAACACACAGAAAUGAGGCUUCUAUCUUCAUUUUGGAACCACUCCAUCAGCAUAUUUUCCAAGAAAUAUAUUACAGCUCAAGCUCUUCCCAGCCUAUGAAUACAUUUGAAACCUAAAAUAUUUAUAUAUGUAGCAGCUCUGGAAGAUCCACUAGAAUAGAAAUUGGCAUAUACAAUGACACCUGUGAAUAUUUUAUAUUACAGCCCUACUUACAACUCAUUCAGUCCACAAAGAACCAGCAAGAGCAGUAACUUGCUCCUAAAUGGAAAAGGUCAGACCAGCGUGGAGAGAAAUGGAUAUAACUCCUAAAAUCAGACAUUGCUGCUUAAAAGCUUGUACAAAUGACGCCCUGAAAAAGGUUGUUUUCCUGCUGCCAGAGCGUUACAGAUCAAGGAAAGGUGGCUGAGGUCCCUUGUGAUCAGCAGGGUUUAAGAGCCAUUAACGGUGCUCCUCUGAGAGGCAGGGAUGGCUGACUCUGAGUUCUCCUCAGCCCAGAUCCAAUUUCAGGAUAGGCCAAAAAAAUCCAACGAGCAACAUUCAAUCUUGCACUGAGAAAUAGAGGAAAUGCUGUCCCUUGUAAUAAAAUAAAACUUCCACGAGUUACCCAUAUCCAUAAACUUCCCUUUUUUUUCUUUAGUAUCAACAGAAAAAACGACUGAGCUAAUGAGCUAAAUUUUUAUAAGCCUUUAAAUUUCAUCUGAAGUUCAUUUUUUCUUUCUCUUCCCAGGCAAUGAAUGUCAGUAAGAAGGAAAUGUCAAAUCUUACCAAACCCAGUUGUAAACUUCUAAUACUUUCAUCCAUUUACUGUCUUUGGUCUAAACACCAACACUGACACUUAGGAAAAAAUUCAAGUGCUCCUCUGUGAGUGCUCUCCUUGCAGGUUGAUGCCACUUUACUGUGACAACCAAUGCUAAAGAGUAAAUUUACAGCCUUCAUCAGGAUUCUGUCUUGCCCCACAUCCUGACCUGGUACAGCCCAGAGCAUUCCUUAGGUUAAAGAAUACAUUGGAUCCACUACUUAUCCUAAAGGAAGACUAACCACAUUGUGCAACAAUGCAAGCACAUCUCUGGGGAUCUGAAGCUGGUUGAUAAAUAUUUGAUAUCACAAAUAAUAUGGUGCUAGUAAUUUCCAAAAUUAUUAUUCCCCAUCUACAAAAUGUUUAACUGUGGUGUAGAGACUGAUUCUGACAUUUAUCUUGUGAUCCCAUGAUCAAACAACAAGUCUGCAUGAACACCUUGGUGCACUCAGAGGUUGAGGCAUAAUUUGCCUAAUUUUGUUAAUACUUAAAUGUAAUUCCCAAGAUGCUGGAAUUAAUCAUUUCUAUGUCUGCCUUUAAUAUAAAUCAAAGUUAGGCAGCUGUGCAUUUUCAGAUCUAAACCACCCGUUUGCUUUCAUGCACAUUUGAGUUAUGAUCUCAUUUGCACUGACAGAAAAGAAAGGUUGGAUAAUCUAAUGUAACAAGUAUCAGAGACUAAAAAUUCCUUUGCAAAGAGUCUACUUCAUAACUGCCAUCUAAUUCGUCUCAGGUAUUUUCAGCUUUUAUCUAGCAUGUAGAUAUGAAGCAUAUGUGAGCCACAUGCGAAGAAUAAUUUAAUAGUGGGCUUCAUCUCAGUGCCAUAUGAGUCAGAAAAGUGCUACACCUAGCUACCACCAUCAGUCUCAUCUAUUUGAGACCCUGGAGGAACUUUUCAUUUCAUUAUCAGGACUCUUCAUGGCUGCAAAUGCUGCUGCUGCUUAAGGUACCCAUCAAUAGCAGUGCCACAGUGAGGUAAGCUUGGAUCGUGCUUUCCUUAAAACAUUUGACUAGAACAGACAAAACCACUCCCUUCAUAUUUCUCUUUUUUUUUUCUUGAUUCCUUUCCCUCACCCCCUAUAGCAAAUGCUUCCAAGUGCCGGGGACAGACAGGUGGAAUACCAGCCUCAUCCAAGGCUCUUUGCAGACAACAGAAAAACUUGUACUGGCUUUAAGCACCUCUGAUGCAGCUCUGAAGGUGUAGCCAGAGUUCAGGAAUGACGACGCUUAUUCUGUUUUACCAAGUACGUGCAAAUUGCUUUAAACCAACCCUUGCUGCAUUUCCUACUCUGAUCGUUUGGAAGAUGAGGGUACAUCUUGUUCAUUAAGACCUCUCUAAAAUAGAAAGGCUGCUAUUUGAUUCACCGGGCUUGUAGCAGGAAAAAAACCAGAGUAUGUAACCCAAAAGCUCUUAAAAAUUUGUACAGAAUUUCAGGCUGGUUGGGGCCAGUUUCUGAGCUGCUUGCCAGAGACCAUGACCUGCUCUUCUGCACUGGGAGCCCAUGGUAUGGCUGUGCUGCUGCCAGGCUGAGGGCUGGGAACGAGGUCAGUCCAGCAACAAAAGGACUCCACAGCCCUGGGCACAAAUGAGCAAAUCUUGGUGAGACGAAAGAGGCAGCACAGAGCAACCAAGAAGAAAUGGAAUGACUCUGCUUCUUGUAAGCUGUGCAUUCAAGGGAAGAUCAACACAGGGCAGAAAGGCAUAUCCCCAGCAAGAACCUGGGAACACUCUCCCCCAGAAGUAAAAAGUUUCAGAAAAUGCUGUCAGACCACUUUUCAGGCCCACCUUGCAUCAGCCGACGAUUUGGGAGGUAUUUGAGAUAAUAAAUGCAAGCUGUGGUGAUCACCAAAUGAAUUCCCAAAGAUAGGUAUGCUCCGAUAGCUCACCAACAGCAGGGCUGGGGGCUGGGAAGAAUUAAGACCAAAAAUGGCUUUAUCAGAUUCUGCCAGGAGCAACUUUUUGGAGGAAAUUAAAAUCAACCCUUGUAGAUUUAGAUUUCCCCACAUUAAGUAUUAUAUGGAAAGUAAACACUCAUAAGUAAGCCAUGGUUCAUCCUUUCCAACAGUCUGAGACAAAACAUGUGCUGGAUGAGAUAAAGCAGAAAAGCAACAGCACCCUUUCCAUGAGGGCUGUGCUCCUGGAUGUCAGCAAACUUCUCCAACUAUGAGCAGAGCCCAGCUAUGCACCCUCAUAGUUACCUUUCAGCAUCAUAUUAGUCUAUGUCAGCUCUUACUACAACUUACACUGCUCCUGUCAGAUGCUGAAACCACUGCCCUGUGACGUCAGUACUUCUGAAGUCUCUUGAGCACAAAGGAUAUCAGCAGACACACCACCAAGGAAAGCCUGAACCCUUCCUCACCAGCUGAACCUUUACUAGAAGUCUUAAUAUGCCUGAACCUAUCUAGCAACAGAGGCAUUGUGGCAUCCAAACCAAAUUAGCUUCACAACAGCAACGAAUUUUAGCAGGUAACUCCCUUGGCUUCAGUGAGAGAAGCAACAAGCUGAAAGCAAGGGUGCAACACUUGAUACUUAGGAAAUAUUUAUCGCUACUUUGAAGUCCUGUUCCUUCCACUGCUCUGUUUUAGCAUGGUCUCAUGUCUGGCUGCAUCAGCACGGUGAGAACUCUGUGUCUGUGGGGUAGCGCAGGGCAGGAGUCACCCAACCUGGCUUUCCUUUCCUGACAAACUACAGAGCCACACCUCAACACACCCAAGAGCGUAUGGUCAUGGCGAUUUUAGCUGGUAUGUGGCCAGAAAAUACAUGUGAUUUUUGUAUAUUUAAAAGGGAAGGGGGGGUGUCUCUACAUUCAAAGGAGGGCAAAUGGACCAGAGAGCUGAGCAAAACACACUAAAGCACCACGCUGCAGUUUGAAGGAGGCUUUGGGAAUGUUUAAUCCAUGCUGACUCUCCAGAGAAAUGGGACAAUUAAAAAGAAAAAAGACAUGAACAUUAGGGAUUUUGGAAAGUGUAGUCAGAGUAUGUUUGCAAGCAUUGUCCAGAACCCCUGUGGAAGUGUCUUGAGGAGCUGCAUUACAGCCCUUGGUGUGCACAAGAGCAGGGUUUGCCCCAUUGUCCCCGAGGAUCGCUCCUUGCCACAGGCACGAGCGAGAGAGAACAUCCAUGCUGGCCUGCCCUGUCCCUCUAGUGCACUCAGGGUCUCCAUCCUCCACAGCUCUGUUCCUGGCUCUGAGCAGAGCUUCCCAAAUGAUUAUUUGCAAAAGGGAGAAAUAACAGUCCACUAAAUCUUCACCUUCCCACUGCCAAACUCAGCUGCAGGGACCGGUGAGUGACCUUGGAUGAUGUCUUUUAACACGUUAAAAAAAAAAAAAACCAACAGGGAAAAAAAGGAAAAUUUCUCAAAGAAAAGGGUCCAACUUGAUGUGUUGCUGCAGCAGAGGGAAGAGGCUGGUGUGUCUGGAGCCCAUUCCUCCAGCACAGAUUGCCCAGCAGAAAGGAUGCUCUUGGUCUCUUUAACUUCUGCAAGAUUUAAAGCCCUGAGCGCCAAAGUCAAUACCAUAAUUUCCCCGGGCUUGGAAACCUCACAAGAUAUAUGGGGAAAAAAGAGGUAACUACAACAGGAGAAGCCAUGCAUCCUCCUCUCCUGCAGCAUCCACCUAGUAAGCAGCACCUUCUCCCCCCGCCCUUUCCCCUGCCCUGUUGCUACACCAUAUACAAAGACUUCACCAGGUAUAGAAAUCAGCAGGGCUGUGAGCACACAGAGCUGCCGUAAAAGCUUCAUCCCUGCCCUGCUCCACACUAUUUACCUUAGACAACAAAAAAGCAAAAGCUCCCUUACAGCCACUGCAGGUCUCUCAAGGGGGGGAGGUGUUACAUGGCAUUUCCUCAAAUUAGGAGAUGUGUGAGCUACCCAAGGACACCAGUAUAAUGGGAUGUGGAAGGCACUGAUGAAGCCUAUUUUCCAUGCUGUGGCACUUCUAGGACAGUACCAAUUGAAGCAGCAAGGUGCCUCGGUUAACUGACACUUCAUAUUCUUAGUGAACAGUUGUAUUAUAAUGCCAUUUAGAUGUUCCAUUCAAGAAUAGAAUUUCUCCAUGUUGGAUGGAGUGAAACACAAAGUAAAGAGCUCUCCAAGGAUCGUUAGCUCUAUUUCACAGGUGUGCAUCACACCGGGGGGCUGUAGGAGCAUUGGGCUGCUGCUUACUUCCCAGUUUUAUAAAGAAAAAUCUUGGCUUAAUGCAGUAGGGAUACUGUCAGCCUGCACAUGGUCUUGGGCAUCAGACACGCUCAUGGCUCACUCACCUCCCCUGUGAGCUAGUAAAAUUAAAACAUGAACAGAAAAUUAAGUGCCUUUGGAACAGGACUGACUACAACAUUUUCCCUUAAUAACUGCACAAAUCAGUCACUAGGAAAUUUAGAAACACAGUAAAUCUCUUUGUGCUUGGUGUCCCUCAUCAUUACACAUCCUUGUUUCUAAAUCCCUAGCAUCUGAGCAACAGCAAUUAUUGCAGUGAGGGGUAUACAGCUUGACUCUGAAAAAUGAGCAACACUGCACACAGAUUUCUCAAUGCCCAGCUCAGGGAUCUGCCUGAAGAUGCUCAACUUCACAGCUCAUCCUUGAAAGUCUGUUACUGUUCCAAAGUGUCCCCUGCAGCCUAACACACACUGCGAUUCCUGCACUCAGAGCCAGUGCUUUGGGAGACAAAUGUUCCCAGCAAUUGCCAUUUUAAGUAUUGCUUUAUUUCUCCUGGGUGUGAGCGUGUGCAAAGGUGCAGGUAUAGGAGGUCUGCAGGCCUUAUGGAGCCAGAGCCACAGAUGGGCCACCCAUGACAUAGAGACUGAAACCAGGCAUUGCUGAACAGCAGCUCCACCACUUUGAGUUCAAGCCAUACACAGCCUAGAAAAUGACCAUUUAGCUGAGAAAAGGUGUAAGAGGAGGUGUAAAAAGGCACAGAGGCACACCAAGUGCAGCCACACAGCCACUGCACUUCUUUGGGAGGAGAGAAGCAUGGGUUGGACAGAAGCAUGGUAAGAAACAUCAGUGAAUACUAAUGGAAGAGAAGAUUUUGAAGAAAAUAACCUUCCUGAGUCUAACCACUGGCCCAGCACGUCUGUCCUGGCAGUAGCAACAGGAGAGGCUAAUGAAGGAGAGCAGAUGAGAAUCUCUGCAGCUCAUUUCCCAGCAUUUAGUCACUGGAUUAGGGAGGUUAGAGAGGACACUGCUGCCCAGUCCUUUUACUUCUCCAUCAGUCUAAAAGACCCUCGAUUUAAUCACCAGGUCAGAUGAUGAGGGCUGCAAGGGCCAAUAGGGGCUUUCAAGGGAGGAGUUUGGAUUGCAACAGCUGAGCUUUAAGUUGCAGGAAAUCAGUCCUCGGAAGGGUGGAUCCAGAAAAAUCACUACAGGGCUGGCUCAGUGUUAAGCACAGGGUGGUCCCUCACCUGCAGGUUAGCAGACAGAAUUCCAUGGUUGUUUUCCUGCUCAUGGAGCAUCAACACUCGCAAACAGGAGACAGAGAACUGAUAGAAAAAGUAUACCUAUAUAGUUCUCCUUUUUUAAGGAGAAAGAGAAGUAUCAAUGAAAGAUGGUGAUGGCAGACAAAAAGUAAAAAUGGAAAGGAAAAUAAAAAUGUGAGAUUUUAGGGCAGCAAGAGAGGAAUAAAGGGAUGUUCCCCUUUAUUGGGGAUGUACCCAGGCAGCUGGGUACCACUGGCUUUACCCACCUGUGAUUGGCUUGGAGCCAUCAGCUGUGGGUCUGAGCCUUAACAGGAACAGCAGGCACUGAGCUGAGGAAAGAGAUGCAUGAGCCUCAGAGGAGCAACAGGCAAACACUUCACACAAAAACCCCAACUGCAUUUACCCUCUGGGACAAGCUCUGAGAAGGGCACAAGGCAGCGAAUUGGUGAAUUCCCAGUUAUGGCCCAGGGAUGUGCAGUUUUGGAGGUUGGCUGAAGCUGGGCACUGGUGGUGGGAUGCUCUGGAUGAGUGUCACACUGCAGGGAGUACAGGAAAGGGUCUGGUUUGCUUUUAUAAACAAAAACAGAGAGGGCUGCGCUGUCAAAGGCCUAUUUUUGACUAGGGAACCAAAGCAGACAACUUCUUGCCUUUCAUCAGCACAGUGAACCGGCCGUCCCUGGAGUCAGUCAGUCUGCGAGAUCCUAGAGGGAGGCAGCCAGGAACCCAAGAGGGACAACAGCCUUGGUGGGCCAGCCUAAGCACACAGUAAACAGCUCUGAGACAGAGACAGCUUCAGACAGAUGUCUGGGGAUAUCCAUGGGCUACCAACCUCUCAUUUUGGUCAGGAUCAGCUUUAUCAAAUCUGUUUCUACUUGCUUUCUGAAGGCAUGCAAGUCACCCACUGCAUCCCUCUGCUGGGGUUAUGGGUGCUGGGGCUAUAUGUGCAGCCAUCCUCUGCUGCAGCAACAUUUGUGCUUACCCCACAGGCUCCCAGGGUAGGACUGUUUUUAUUAGUUUUCUGAUAAUACCUGGCACUACAGAGAAAUACAGACCUGCUGCUGCAGUCUUGGAGCCCAAACCUUCAUCGUAUGAAUGAAGGACAGAAAAAGGAAUAUGAAUCACUGAGUGACUGGAGAGUUUAGUGUGCCUAUCACUUCAUUUUCAAGGAUGGCUUUGUUAUUGCAAAACAUGUGUAAAGAAUCACACAGCAGCUUAGUAGUGCUGCUGUCACAGCAAAUUCAUUUUCUGCAGGAGAGAGGAAGACAACAGCAGAGUUAUAUACACUUGCAACCAAAUCUGUCCCUGGUUAUCACUUCUGUCUUAGCAAGAGCUGACAUCCUGCCUGCUAAGAACAUUAUCAGAAUAACGACACGGAGAAUAUUGCUGUUGAACAGCCUAUUUUCAUCCAGCUGCAUGGGGAAGGCAUUUUGUAAACAACAUGUGGGGCUUUGACACAAUUAAAUACAAAUAACCUGAAGUUUCCACUGACACCAAUGUUAAGAUUAAAAUUCCUGAGCGCCAGCUGCCUGAAACAGAUGUUGGCCAGGCAGUUCUCCCACUUCCCACCCAGCUCAGAGACCCUUUGCUGCUACCAUGUCUCUGAGUGCAGCCAAAGAGCCCUGCAAAGCCAUCAAUGCCACCAGCUUCCUGCCAAGGGGAUACAGCAAUGCUGUCCUAGCCCAAACCUGAAUUCACAUCCACAACAGAGUCUGGAGCUUAGCCAGCUAAUAUUCUAAUUAUUUACACUAGGCUUCCAAUUCUUCAUUAGAGCAAAAGGCCCUCAAGGACUAUGAUACCAGCACCUCUGCCUAUGGGAGAAGCUGGGAAGGACACACUGCUGUUCUGCAGGCAGUCAGAGCUACACAACCAUCACAUCAGCAGCUCAAACUUUAGAUACUCAAGAGUGACAACUACUUGAAAAAUCAGACUACUUUUAAAAUUAUAAUACUUUUUAGGAAAAAAGACCAAUCUAAAAUCCCACCCACCUGUUUUACACAGUUCAAACCCAAAUGAGUCACCCAACUGAACCAGGGUGCUGUGAGAUAUAAUUGUUUUACCUUUUCUGUGCCCAUUUCCUAACUCAGAAAGAAUGAGAAACCCACACCAAGUUAAUUCAGCAUUAUUCAUAAAUUGUAUCAGGAUACAGUUGGACAUUAAGGUAAACUUAGAAUUUCAGAGGUUAUUGCAAGGAACAAAUCUGCUCCAAGAGAAGUGUUUUAAGUGAGGUUAUGGGUAUAUUUUACAUAUGUGAUAUAUAUAUACACGGGUAUAUAUUUUAAAAACCAGACUUGGGUUUUAAGUGAAGUGAUGGGCAAUUCUCUCUGUGAACAUCUCCCUCAUUCUGGAGAACAUGGCAAGAUUUCCUCUCGAUAUGGAGAUCUGUGUUCAUACAAUAAGGCAUUCAGAGGAGAAAAAACACUAUUCUGGUGACAAUCUGUGCAUGUUUUCUAAAGCAUGGUUUUAAUAAAAAGGUCAGUUCUAUCUCAUGGUGUACAAUUCUGUAGUGUGUAAAUACAUGUUCUUAAGGAAGCAAGGAAAUAAAAGUGUCACCUCCUCUUAGUCCUCUUUGAACAUACAUUAUAAUGACAUGACAUCUCA